rnacentral:rRNA from 1 species
UGCCUGUCCGAGCGUCAUUUCCUCCCUCACGCAGCGCGCCUGCGUGGUGUUGGGGCGUUCUGCGGCCAGGCCUGCGACUAGCAGGCCGCCGCAGCCCCCGAAAGCCAGUGGCGGGCCGGCAGCGGGCUCCGAGCGCAGUAAGCAGCAGUGCCCUCGCUCUGGACGCCCCCGCCUGCGCCCUGCCCCAAAGACGGCAGACGCGAGUCUCCCUCCUUCUCAAGGUUGACCUCGGAUCAGGUARGACUACCCGCUGAACUUAAGCAUAUCAAUAAGCGGAGGAAAAGAAACCAACAGGGAUUGCCCCAGUAACGGCGAGUGAAGCGGCAACAGCUCAGAUUUGGAAUCUGGCCCCCAGGGCCCGAGUUGUAAUCUGGAGAGGAUGCUUCUGGCGCGGCGCCUUCCGAGUUCCCUGGAACGGGACGCCGGAGAGGGUGAGAGCCCCGUACGGUCGGACGCCUAGCCUUUGUGAAGCUCCUUCGACGAGUCGAGUAGUUUGGGAAUGCUGCUCAAAAUGGGAGGUAAAUUUCUUCUAAAGCUAAAUAUUGGCCAGAGACCGAUAGCGCACAAGUAGAGUGAUCGAAAGAUGAAAAGCACUUUGAAAAGAGGG